rnacentral:rRNA from 1 species
CGGCAGGCUUAACACAUGCAAGUCGAGCGGUAGCACAAGGGAGCUUGCUCYCUGGGUGACGAGCGGCGGACGGGUGAGUAAUGUCUGGGAAACUGCCUGAUGGAGGGGGAUAACUACUGGAAACGGUAGCUAAUACCGCAUAACGUCGCAAGACCAAAGAGGGGGACCUUCGGGCCUCUUGCCAUCAGAUGUGCCCAGAUGGGAUUAGCUAGUAGGUGGGGUAAUGGCUCACCUAGGCGACGAUCCCUAGCUGGUCUGAGAGGAUGACCAGCCACACUGGAACUGAGACACGGUCCAGACUCCUACGGGAGGCAGCAGUGGGGAAUAUUGCACAAUGGGCGCAAGCCUGAUGCAGCCAUGCCGCGUGUGUGAAGAAGGCCUUCGGGUUGUAAAGCACUUUCAGCGAGGAGGAAGGUGGUGAACUUAAUACGUUCAUCAAUUGACGUUACUCGCAGAAGAAGCACCGGCUAACUCCGUGCCAGCAGCCGCRRGGUAAUACA